CUAGUCCUUGCUUGCCAUUGGCCAAACAGUAUUUUAUUCAACAAUCAAUAAGAUAAACAUACAUAGACGUACUUCCCCAUCACCCUUCUACUUUUAUGUCUUCUAAGAACUUCGGGUGACCACUGGGACUAAAGGUGGAGCCAAGCCUUUUCAGCCUUCCCCACUGACCCCAAGCACUGUGUGCUCCACACAAAGCCAUGCGCAGCCAGUGGAAUGUGGACUAUUCCUCGAUGUUCUGGCAUGGACAUGAUCUCCUUCGUGCUUCCAACACGGGAUUCCGAUCAAUAAGUUGGGGCCCCAAGCUUCUUCAGGAAAACAGUUUUUAUUUGUGCUAGCAGAUUCAUCCAAACUUCUGUUUCAAAGAACCAAGCCCCAAAGGCUCACUAGACGGAGCCUUUUGGAUUUUGCGUCUUUGUCUCCCAUACAUGGAAGGGAAACUAAUCACCCCACAUCAUCCCCAAGACUUGUGAACGACUGCUCUUUCUGUACUGAGUACUCACAGAUGUGGAAACAGACCCACAGGGAACUCACGGGGCUAUCGGCAAUAGAGGCACCGUCAGUCCCAGCACCAAGUCCCAUCAGGGAAGUAGCCAAACUCUGUGUGAAAUAAUUAAAAAAUUAUUUUUCACUUUCUUAAUUUCUUUUCAAAAAUUUUAUAAAUGUAUAUUGUAUUUAUAUCAUUCCUCCCCUUCCUCUCCUCCUAUGCCCCCACCUUGUGCUCCCUUUCAAAUUCUUGUAUUUACACACACACACACACACACACAGAGAGAGAGAGAGAGAGACAGAGACAGAGACAGAGACAGAGACAGAGACAGAGACAGAACUAAAUAAACUCAGCAAGUUGAAUUUAUAUAUUUAUUCAGUGUGUGUGUGUGUGUGUGUGUGUGCGCAUGUGUAUGUGUAUGUGUAUGUUUAGGUUUGACCACCUGUAUUGGAUAAUCAAUUAGGAGACACAUCCCUGGGGAAAACUCAUCCUCCCUCUCAUCAGUCAUAAAUUGCCUGUAGCUCUUCUAGGGGUAAACCCGUGAAAGUUCCUCCAUCCAUGUCAGCAUGUUGACUGAUGCUGUCGUGGUUCAGGUCUUGUUUGGGCAGCUAUAUUACUGAGAUUUCAUGGGUGCAGCUCCCUAUCUGAUAGAGAAGAUACACAGCCCGUGUCCAGGUCUUCUGACUGUUCAAGUCUUGCUGUCCACUGUGUUAUCCCCUGAGGCUUAGAUGUGGGGUUUGUGUUGAAGAUGUAUCUGGGCUGGACAACUUCUCAGAGCCUGUGCUUUGUGUGUUGUGAAAUCUUCAGCACCCUAAAUCCCUUAAUUAGAGGGAGAAAAAAGGCAAAUGAUCAAUGAGCCUGUCUUUAAAAGCCUCCAUUUGCGUGCUCCAUCUAA
ensembl:lincRNA